rnacentral:rRNA from 2 species
GUGCUAAUACAUGCAAGUCGAGCGAACUGAUUAGAAGCUUGCUUCUAUGACGUUAGCGGCGGACGGGUGAGUAACACGUGGGCAACCUGCCUGUAAGACUGGGAUAACUUCGGGAAACCGAAGCUAAUACCGGAUAGGAUCUUCUCCUUCAUGGGAGAUGAUUGAAAGAUGGUUUCGGCUAUCACUUACAGAUGGGCCCGCGGUGCAUUAGCUAGUUGGUGAGGUAACGGCUCACCAAGGCAACGAUGCAUAGCCGACCUGAGAGGGUGAUCGGCCACACUGGGACUGAGACACGGCCCAGACUCCUACGGGAGGCAGCAGUAGGGAAUCUUCCGCAAUGGACGAAAGUCUGACGGAGCAACGCCGCGUGAGUGAUGAAGGCUUUCGGGUCGUAAAACUCUGUUGUUAGGGAAGAACAAGUACAAGAGUAACUGCUCGUACCUUGACGGUACCUAACCAGAAAGCCACGGCUAACUACGUGCCAGCAGCCGCGGUAAUACGUAGGUGGCAAGCGUUAUCCGGAAUUAUUGGGCGUAAAGCGCGCGCAGGCGGUUUCUUAAGUCUGAUGUGAAAGCCCACGGCUCAACCGUGGAGGGUCAUUGGAAACUGGGGAACUUGAGUGCAGAAGAGAAAAGCGGAAUUCCACGUGUAGCGGUGAAAUGCGUAGAGAUGUGGAGGAACACCAGUGGCGAAGGCGGCUUUUUGGUCUGUAACUGACGCUGAGGCGCGAAAGCGGGAUUG